rnacentral:piRNA from 1 species
UGCAUUUGCGCGUGCUCGUGCUUGGCAAU